rnacentral:rRNA from 1 species
AGAGUUUGAUCAUGGCUCAGAGCGAACGCUGGCGGCAGGCCUAAUACAUGCAAGUCGAACGGUCCUUCGGGACAGUGGCGGACGGGUGAGUAACACGUGGGAACGUACCCUUUGGUUCGGAAUAGCUCCGGGAAACUGGAAUUAAUACCGAAUGUGCCCUUCGGGGGAAAGAUUUAUCGCCAUUGGAGCGGCCCGCGUCUGAUUAGCUUGUUGGUGAGGUAAAGGCUCACCAAGGCUACGAUCAGUAGCUGGUCUGAGAGGAUGAUCAGCCACACUGGGACUGAGACACGGCCCAGACUCCUACGGGAGGCAGCAGUAGGGAAUCUUGCGCAAUGGGCGAAAGCCUGACGCAGCCAUGCCGCGUGGAUGAUGAAGGUCUUAGGAUUGUAAAAUCCUUUCAGCGGGGACGAUAAUGACGGUACCCGCAGAAGAAGCCCCGGCUAACUUCGUGCCAGCAGCCGCGGUAAUACGAAGGGGGCUAGCGUUGCUCGGAUUUACUGGGCGUAAAGGGCGCGUAGGCGGACAGUUCAGUCAGAGGUGAAAGCCCAGGGCUCAACCUUGGAAUUGCCUUUGAUACUGGCUGUCUUGAGUACGGGAGAGGUGAGUGGAACUCCGAGUGUAGAGGUGAAAUUCGUAGAUAUUCGGAAGAACACCAGUGGCGAAGGCGACUCACUGGCCCGUUACUGACGCUGAGGCGCGAAAGCGUGGGGAGCAAACAGGAUUAGAUACCCUAGUAGUCC